rnacentral:tRNA from 1 species
AGUUUGGAGGGUUAAACCGCUAAGUUGCAAACUUAGUAUAGCGCAAGCCCAGUCUA